CUCCAGCAGCCCAGAUGGAACCUGGCCUGCCCUGACCCAGGAUGCCCCCCCAGCCCCUGGUUCAGGAAGGUGCUCAUUCUCCAUCAGUCAAACAGAGUCCUAGCUGCCCUCUGCAAUGCCAGCUGUCCCCAAAGGCAGCACACUUGCCCUCUGGACUUCCCACAGGGCAGCUACAUGGAGAGCUGCCCUCAGACAGGACUCAGGAAUUCUCCCUUGAUGGGUCCUUUGGAGCCAAGAAGCAGGGCCAAGGGGGCCUGGCCAGAGAAGCCACAACAGCACUUAAGUCCUUGCUAUGCGCCUGGCACCAGCCUGGACUUACUGUCUGCAAGAGAGCUGAAACACACGCACACAAAGCAGCAGAGCCCCUUGACCUUCUCUAGGGCACAAAGCCCAGAGAUAGGUCAGAGAAGGAGAGGCCAAGACCCAGCGCCACCCCGUCUCCAGGAAUCGGAUCACAGCAGGGACAAAGCCGCUGCAGCCUGGACAAGCCCAGGGUGUGUCCCCAGCCCAAGAAGCAGAGCCUCCGCUGGGCCGGAGAGCAGGGAAGCACAGCUGGCUGACAAGGCCACGGAUACACCUGCAGGGCUCCUCGGCCCAGGCGGCCUCUCCCUGCCCGGGCGGGUGCCAGAUUCCUGGACCAACGGGGCCCUCUGCCGGCCAGCCCGCCGCGCGCUGGCGCUCAGGCCAGAGGGCCGGGAACAGGUGACCGGCGGAGGGCGGCGGCCCGGCUGAGGGAGCGGCCCAGGGCGUCCAGGUCGGGGGCUGGGAUCCGAAGGCCAGCCAGGGCUCCCAGCGGCGGCGCUCGGGGUAGGAGGCUGGAGGGUGGCGGGGAGGCCCGGGGCGCUGCCUCGCACGGCGCCACCCUGCACCUCAGCGCGCCCAAAGCGCAGCGAGGGUCCCUGUAAAGGUCGCAGGACUGGGCAUCCCAGACCUCAGAGAGGGGGAGGGAAGAAGGAAGGGAAAGAAAGGAAGAGAGAGACGCGCCGACAGCCCGGCAAAGCGCUGCUGCAGAGACACGUGAGCACGGGCAAUGACACCGCGGGACGCCCCGGCCGGGCCCUGCGCUCCCGGCCAGGUUCCAUGGACGCGCUCCCGCGGGCCGGGGCCCGGGCCACAGAGUCAGAAGCAAAGCGCAAGAAAAAUAAAUUCCUCCAGCUUGGAGGAUUUCUCUC